AAACCAUGGUGUAGGCACUCUCUCUGUAGAUCCUUGAACCUUUCCCAUGCCUCAAACAAACUCUCAUCUGCUUGUUGAGUAAUAGAAAUGAUAUGGCUCCUCAGACG
rfam:Spinacia oleracea cultivar SynViroflay scaffold58093.con0002.1, whole genome shotgun sequence.